AAUAAUACAGUUUGUCUUCACUGAGUAACCGGGCCUCUUGCCUACAAAGCAGCGAGUGUUCGCGUAAAAAAGUGAAAAUGACUGAAAUAAGUGACUAGUCUGGCCUCGUGGCGUAGUCUGGUUCGAGUAAUUAAGUCCGAGGGGUGUUUCACCUAAUGCCUUGAGCCAACUGGAUCAAGAGUCAUUGACCCAAAGCUCGUUACAUGGACCUUACUAGAGCCUAAUGGAGUCGGACUGUUGUAGUCACUAUGCG
rnacentral:lncRNA from 1 species